AACGCAUAUUGCGCCCGCCAGUACUCUGGCGGGCACGCCUGUUUGAGCGUCGUUUCACCACUCGGGCUUCCGGUCCGGCGUCGGGGUGCUGUGGUCUUACCGCAGUCCCCAAGAUGUAGCGGCGGACCAGCCGCGGUCCUGAGCGCAGUACGAGUCUCGCUCCGGCGGCCGCGGCGUGGCCUUGCCUCGCACCAAUGGCGGCAUGCUCGACGUGCCGUCGCAGGUCGACCUCAAAUCAAGCGAGAUUACCCGCUGAACUUAA
rnacentral:misc_RNA from 1 species